GGGGCCGUGGUCCAGCUUGGUCUACGAUCCGCGGCUUGGGCCCGCGGGGUCCCCGGUUCGAAUCCGGGCGGCCCCA
rnacentral:tRNA from 1 species